rnacentral:rRNA from 1 species
UACAGAGGGGGCAAGCGUUAUUCGGAAUUAUUGGGCGUAAAGGGCGCGUAGGCGGCCAUUCAAGUGACGGGUGAAAGCCCUCGGCUUAACCGAGGAACUGCCUGUCAGACUGGAUGGCUUGGGACCGGGAGAGGUGAGUGGAAUUCCCAGUGUAGCGGUGAAAUGCGUAGAUAUUGGGAGGAACACCAGUGGCGAAGGCGGCUCACUGGACCGGAACUGACGCUGAGGCGCGAAAGCGUGGGGAGCAAACAGG